AUGUUCAUACUGCUGGUUCUGAUAAAAAGAUGCUUGGUUCUAGCCAGGACUUGUUCUCGGAAGAAUAUGUCUUGCUUUGGAUGCUGUGGUGAUGAAGAUACUCAAAGAGCACCAGACAACAGGAAUCAAUACCCAGGAAGCCAUCCAGCAAGGAAUGAUGCAUAUCGCACUGCCGAUCCAACUCCCAAAGGUCCUCAACCUGUGAAAGUGCAACCCAUUGCAGUUCCCACCAUUCCUAUGGAUGAAAUUAGGGAGGUUACUAAGGGUUUUGGUGAUGAAGCUUUGAUUGGUGAGGGUUCCUUUGGCAGAGUAUAUUUUGGUACUCUAAGAAAUGGUAGAGGUGCAGCAAUCAAAAAGCUGGAUUCCAGUAAGCAGCCAGACCAAGAAUUGCUGGCACAGGUAUCUAUGGUGUCAAGGCUUAAGCAUGAAAAUGUUGUUGAGUUGCUUGGUUACUGUCUUGAUGGGAACACCCGUGUCCUUGCUUAUGAGUUUGCCACUAUGGGCUCUCUUCAUGAUAUGCUUCAUGGAAGGAAAGGUGUUAAAGGGGCUCAGCCAGGACCAGUCUUAUCAUGGAUACAACGGGUGAAGAUAGCUGUUGGUGCAGCGAAAGGCCUAGAGUAUCUUCAUGAGAAAGCACAGCCUCACGUCAUACACAGGGACAUCAAGUCCAGCAACGUUCUUCUCUUUGAUGAUGACGUGGCUAAAAUAGCCGACUUUGAUUUGUCAAACCAAGCUCCUGACAUGGCAGCCCGGCUUCACUCAACUAGGGUUCUGGGAACAUUUGGAUACCAUGCACCUGAGUAUGCAAUGACUGGUCAACUUAGCUCUAAGAGCGAUGUGUACAGUUUCGGAGUUGUUCUUCUGGAGCUAUUGACUGGGAGGAAACCUGUCGACCAUACAUUACCGAGGGGGCAGCAGAGCCUUGUCACAUGGGCCACCCCAAGACUGAGUGAAGAUAAGGUUAGGCAAUGUGUUGACUCAAGACUUGGAGGGGACUAUCCUCCUAAGGCUGUUGCAAAGUUUGCAGCCGUCGCUGCAUUGUGCGUCCAAUACGAAGCCGACUUCCGGCCAAACAUGAGCAUCGUCGUCAAGGCGCUCCAGCCCCUGCUGAACGCGCGAGCAGCCCACCCCGGGGCUGAACACGCUGGACGCUAA
rnacentral:rRNA from 1 species